rnacentral:rRNA from 1 species
AUGGGCGCAAGCCUGAUGCAGCAACGCCGCGUGAGGGAUGACGGCCUUCGGGUUGUAAACCUCUUUUAGUAGGGAAGAAGCGAAAGUGACGGUACCUGCAGAAAAAGCACCGGCUAACUACGUGCCAGCAGCCGCGGUAAUACGUAGGGUGCGAGCGUUGUCCGGAAUUAUUGGGCGUAAAGAGCUCGUAGGCGGUCUGUCGCGUCUGCUGUGAAAUCCCGAGGCUCAACCUCGGGCCUGCAGUGGGUACGGGCAGACUAGAGUGCGGUAGGGGAGAAUGGAAUUCCUGGUGUAGCGGUGGAAUGCGCAGAUAUCAGGAGGAACACCGAUGGCGAAGGCAGUUCUCUGGGCCGUAACUGACGCUGAGGAGCGAAAGCGUGGGGAGCGAACAGGAUUAGAUACCCUGGUAGUCCACGCCGUAAACGUUGGGCGCUAGAUGUGGGGACCAUUCCACGGUUUCCGUGUCGCAGCUAACGCAUUAAGCGCCCCGCCUGGGGAGUACGGCCGCAAGGCUAAAACUCAAAGGAAUUGACGGGGGCCCGCACAAGCGGCGGAGCAUGCGGAUUAAUUCGAUGCAACGCGAAGAACCUUACCAAGGCUUGACAUACACGAGAACGCCCUAGAAAUAGGGAACUCUUUGGACACUCGUGAACAGGUGGUGCAUGGUUGUCGUCAGCUCGUGUCGUGAGAUGUUGGGUUAAGUCCCGCAACGAGCGCAACCCUCGUUCUAUGUUGCCAGCGCGUAAUGGCGGGAACUCAUAGGAGACUGCCGGGGUCAACUCGGAGGAAGGUGGGGAUGACGUCAAAUCAUCAUGCCCCUUAUGUCUUGGGCUUCACGCAUGCUACAAUGGCCGGUACAAAGGGCUGCAAUACCGUAAGGUGGAGCGAAUCCCAAAAAGCCGGUCUCAGUUCGGAUUGAGGUCUGCAACUCGACCUCAUGAAGUCGGAGUCGCUAGUAAUCGCAGAUCAGCAACGCUGCGGUGAAUACGUUCCCGGGCCUUGUACACACCGCCCGUCAAGUCAUGAAAGUCGGUAACACCCGAAGCCGG